UCUUGACUGUUGCAGACAGUGCUGCUGUGAGCACUGGGGCGCGUGCACAGAAGCCCCAGAGCUGCCGUCCUGGGUGUCGGCCCCUUGCUGCCCUCUCUGUCCCAGCGGCUGGGCAGCAGGGAGCCCUGCCUGCGGCCCAUACACCACCGCUGCCGCACGGGGUUGUUCCAGGUGAUAGUCAUCAGCCUGUUUAUCAUCAAAGUGAUACCGACCAGGUUCUUGGCUCUCUCGCAUCAGUAGAAACUGACUAGAGGCCAGACAAGAAAUCCAGGCCAUGCUUUAUGGGGGCCCCUGCUGCAGCAGCGUGGAGUGGGGUAGGGGGGCAAGAACAAACAACAGGCUCCCUUGCUUGCUCUCUCCCUGGUGGGGGAGCGAGGCGAUCUCGUUUCUUACAUGGGGUGAUGGCUGGCGGGGUGUCCAGGGGUCCAGUCACAGGGUGGUUUAGGUGGUCCCCCCUCUCUCCCGCCGGUGGUGUUGAGUGCAGGGGGCAUGCGCAGUUCCAACUGCCUGUUUUUGCCCCAGACUCUCCAGAAGCGGCAGUUGGGUUUUUUUUGUUUGUUUGGCUUUGUGUCUUUUGGCCCAGAAUUUCCCCCAGCUGCACGUGCAGCAGUAUUUUUAGUCCCGUGUAGUUUCUUUGUAUCUUGUUACUGGAGGAGAGGUGUGUCCAGGAGCAAGCAGUGUGCAAAGGGUUGCGGGUUCCAGCUCCUAGCCUGUCUCAAAGAGUAGGGUACUUUACUUGAGGGAUUAAAGCGUUAACCUCUAUCCUACUGGCCAAAUUAUACAGGGAAGAGGAAAUAAGCAGUGUUCAUCUGAAACCCCCUACCCCUUGAAAAAAGAAGAAAAGCGAGUAACUUGAGCAUCUCUCGCUGGGGCUGGCAGAGUGCGAUUUACUCGGGGAGCUCCGGCUUGGUGACCUGGGCUCUGCCAUGAAGCAGGGGGUUGCCUUUGGUGACGCUCUCUCAGAACUCCAAAACUUGGACUUUUUUCAACUUGAGACUUUUGUUUAUCCUGUCACGUCAGUAGGUUCCCCCAGACUGCUUACUGUCACGCCCUGUAAAGUGGUGGUCCUGAAAAUAUGGCCCGUAAGCCACCAGCAAGAGCAUCAGGGGCGCACAGGGUGUUUGCAGGCUCAGUCGUAUCCAACUUUUUGCGACCCCAUGGACAGUAGCCUGCCAGGUUCCUCUGUCCAUGGGAUUUCCCAGGCAGGAAUACUGGAGUGGGUUGCCAAGGCCUCCUCCAGGGCACCUUCCCGACGCAAGGAUUGAACCCACAUCUCCUGCAUUGGCAGGCAGAUUCUUUACCAUCUGAGCCACCUGGGAAGCCAGGGCACCAGGAGCUUCUUUUAAAGGUAGAUUAUCAAGGGCCGGCCCAGGCCUUCGAAAUCUGCAGCUCCGAGGAGGAGGGACCUGUGGCCCGUGUUUUCCCAGCUCUCCUCACGGGGGCAGCGCGGGCUGAAGUCUGAGGACUCCGGCCCUGGGAGCUUGGACCCCACAAGCCUGUAGGUCUGUCCGCUGCUUGUUGUCUUGAUGUGUGUUAGUCAUCGGUGGUGUCCGACUCUUUGCCACCCCAUCGACUAUAGCCCUGCAGGCUCCUUUGUCCAUGGACUUUUCCAGGCAAGGAUACUGGAGUGGGUUCCUUCUCCAGGGGAUCUUCCCAACCCAGGGAUUGAACCCAGGUCUCCUGCAUUGCGGGCAGAUGCUUUACCAUCUGAGCUACUAGGGGAGCCUGUUGUCUUGAUAGUGAUGGAGUUAGAUCUGUCUGCAUCUUUGCUUGCUCUGAUUAUAUUUGGGACACUCGGUAAUCUUUCAGGGACGUGGAAAGGAGGGCCACCACAUCCUUUGUGUGCAGAGUGUGGGCCAGGUAUUAUGUUAGAGGCCUUAUAUCCAUUGUCCCAUGGGUCCCCAGCCUCCAGGCCACAGACCGGUAACUCCUGUUAGAUCAGGGGUGGCGUUAGGUUAGAGAUCAUACCAUAAAUGUAAUGAGCUUGAAACAUCUCCAAACCGUCCCCUCCAUGCCCCAACCCAGUCCUGGAAAAACUGCCUUGCAUGAAGCCGGUCCCUGGUGCUAAACAGGUUGGGAAGCCCUGCGUUACCCUAUUCAAUGCCCACAGCAACCCUGUAGAGUGCUGUUAGCCCCUCUCCCACUUUAUAAAUAACCUGAAGCUCAGAGAUGUCUAGUGAGUUGUCUAAGCUCACACAGCUCCAAAGCGACAGAGCAGAGAUGGAAGGCCAGUUUGACUUUCAACCGUAUGAAUGUAGACACAUAGAACACAAUUUGGCUCUUCUGCUAGAAGCUCCAUGAAGUUGGAAGGACCGAAGCCUGGAGGGGUCUGGGGAGAGCUGAGCCGGGUUUCUGCAGCUGGUCGGGGCUAGGGAACCGCAGUUUUGCAGGCUGUGACCACUCCGCCACUGUGCCACGAUGUGGCCUCACGGAAGAGCAAAAGAAUACACCGAAUACCUUCGAGAGAUGAAUUUCCCCAGGAAAAAAAUAAAUAAAACAAAGGAAGAUCCUCUGAUUACAUUUAAAUAUUUCCUUGCCAGUGCUUGGGGGAAUUCUAGCAUUCCACGCUUGCAG
ensembl:lncRNA